rnacentral:rRNA from 1 species
AGAGUUUGAUCCUGGCUCAGGAUGAACGCUGGCGGCGUGCCUAAUACAUGCAAGUCGAGCGAACGGACGAGAAGCUUGCUUCUCUGAUGUUAGCGGCGGACGGGGGAGUAACACGUGGAUAACCUACCUAUAAGACUGGGAUAACUUCGGGAAACCGGAGCUAAUACCGGAUAAUAUUUUGAACCGCAUGGUUCAAAAGUGAAAGACGGUCUUGCUGUCACUUAUAGAUGGAUCCGCGCUGCAUUAGCUAGUUGGUAAGGUAACGGCUUACCAAGGCAACGAUGCAUAGCCGACCUGAGAGGGUGAUCGGCCACACUGGAACUGAGACACGGUCCAGACUCCUACGGGAGGCAGCAGUAGGGAAUCUUCCGCAAUGGGCGAAAGCCUGACGGAGCAACGCCGCGUGAGUGAUGAAGGUCUUCGGAUCGUAAAACUCUGUUAUUAGGGAAGAACAUAUGUGUAAGUAACUGUGCACAUCUUGACGGUACCUAAUCAGAAAGCCACGGCUAACUACGUGCCAGCAGCCGCGGUAAUACGUAGGUGGCAAGCGUUAUCCGGAAUUAUUGGGCGUAAAGCGCGCGUAGGCGGUUUUUUAAGUCUGAUGUGAAAGCCCACGGCUCAACCGUGGAGGGUCAUUGGAAACUGGAAAACUUGAGUGCAGAAGAGGAAAGUGGAAUUCCAUGUGUAGCGGUGAAAUGCGCAGAGAUAUGGAGGAACACCAGUGGCGAAGGCGACUUUCUGGUCUGUAACUGACGCUGAUGUGCGAAAGCGUGGGGAUCAAACAGGAUUAGAUACCCUGGUAGUCCACGCCGUAAACGAUGAGUGCUAAGUGUUAGGGGGUUUCCGCCCCUUAGUGCUGCAGCUAACGCAUUAAGCACUCCGCCUGGGGAGUACGACCGCAAGGUUGAAACUCAAAGGAAUUGACGGGGACCCGCACAAGCGGUGGAGCAUGUGGUUUAAUUCGAAGCAACGCGAAGAACCUUACCAAAUCUUGACAUCCUUUGACAACUCUAGAGAUAGAGCCUUCCCCUUCGGGGGACAAAGUGACAGGUGGUGCAUGGUUGUCGUCAGCUCGUGUCGUGAGAUGUUGGGUUAAGUCCCGCAACGAGCGCAACCCUUAAGCUUAGUUGCCAUCAUUAAGUUGGGCACUCUAAGUUGACUGCCGGUGACAAACCGGAGGAAGGUGGGGAUGACGUCAAAUCAUCAUGCCCCUUAUGAUUUGGGCUACACACGUGCUACAAUGGACAAUACAAAGGGCAGCGAAACCGCGAGGUCAAGCAAAUCCCAUAAAGUUGUUCUCAGUUCGGAUUGUAGUCUGCAACUCGACUACA